rnacentral:rRNA from 1 species
GACGAACGCUGGCGGCGUGCUUAACACAUGCAAGUCGAACGGAAAGGCCCUGCUUUUGUGGGGUGCUCGAGUGGCGAGCGGGUGAGUAACACGUGAGUAACCUGCCCUUGACUUUGGGAUAACUUCAGGAAACUGGGGCUAAUACCGGAUAGGAGAUCCUGCUGCAUGGUGGGGGUUGGAAAGUUUCGGCGGUUGGGGAUGGACUGGCGGCUGAUCAGCUUGUUGGUGGGGUAGUGGCUUACCAAGGCUUUGACGGGUAGCCGGCAUGGGAGCGUGACCGGGGUCAAGACUCCUACGGGACGGCGCAGACGGCAAUGGGAGGCAACAGUGGGGAGUAUUACACAGUGGGCGGGAGUCUGAUGCAGCGGCGCCCCGUUCGUGAUGACGGCCUUCUGGUUAUGAACCGCUGUCGCCUGAGACGAAGCGGUAGUGACGGUAACGAGUAAAUAAGCACCGGCUAACUACGUG